UAAGGAAUAUUGGUCAAUGGACGCAAGUCUGAACCAGCCAUGCCGCGUGGAGGAUGAAGGUCCUCUGGAUUGUAAACUUCUUUUAUCUGGGACGAAACACUUCUUUUCUAAGAGGCCUGACGGUACCAGAUGAAUAAGCACCGGCUAACUCCGUGCCAGCAGCCGCGGUAAUACGGAGGGUGCAGGCGUUAUCCGGAUUCACUGGGUUUAAAGGGUGCGUAGGUGGGUAUGUAAGUCAGUGGUGAAAUCCCCGAGCUUAACUUGGGAACUGCCAUUGAUACUAUAUAUCUUGAAUACCGUAGAGGUAAGCGGAAUAUGUCAUGUAGCGGUGAAAUGCUUAGAUAUGACAUGGAACACCAAUUGCGAAGGCAGCUUACUAUGCGGUGAUUGACACUGAGGCACGAAAGCGUGGGUAGCAAAC
rnacentral:rRNA from 1 species